GUASGUGGCAAGCGUUGUCCGGAUUUACUGGGCGUAAAGAGCGCGCAGGCGGUCGUUCAAGUCGCGUGUGAAAGCCCCCAGCUCAACUGGGGAGGGUCACGCGAUACUGAUCGACUCGAAGGCAGGAGAGGGUAGUGGAAUUCCCGGUGUAGUGGUGAAAUGCGUAGAUAUCGGGAGGAACACCAGUGGCGAAGGCGACUACCUGGCCUGUUCUUGACGCUGAGGCGCGAAAGCUAGGGGAGCAAACGGGAUUAGAUACCCCGGUAGUCCUAGCCGUAAACGAUGGACACUAGGUGUUGGUGGUAUCAACCCCGCCAGUGCCGAAGCUAACGCAUUAAGUGUCCCGCCUGGGGAGUACGGCCGCAAGGCUA
rnacentral:rRNA from 1 species